GACGAACGCUGGCGGCGUGCUUAACACAUGCAAGUCGAACGGAAAGGCCCUGCUUUUGUGGGGUGCUCGAGUGGCGAACGGGUGAGUAACACGUGAGUAACCUGCCCUUGACUUUGGGAUAACUUCAGGAAACUGGGGCUAAUACCGGAUAGGAGCUCCUGCUGCAUGGUGGGGGUUGGAAAGUUUCGGCGGUUGGGGAUGGACUCGCGGCUUAUCAGCUUCUUGGUGGGGUAGUGGCUUACCAAGGCUUUGACGGGUAGCCGGCCUGAGAGGGUGACCGGCCACAUUGGGACUGAGAUACGGCCCAGACUCCUACGGGAGGCAGCAGUGGGGAAUAUUGCACAAUGGGCGGAAGCCUGAUGCAGCAACGCCGCGUGCGGGAUGACGGCCUUCGGGUUGUAAACCGCUUUCGCCUGUGACGAAGCGUGAGUGACGGUAAUGGGUAAAGAAGCACCGGCUAACUACGUG
rnacentral:rRNA from 1 species